rnacentral:rRNA from 1 species
UGGGGAAUUUUGGACAAUGGGCGAAAGCCUGAUGCAGCCAUGCCGCGUGUGUGAAGAAGGCCUUCGGGUUGUAAAGCACUUUCAGCGAGGAGGAAGGUGGUGAACUUAAUACGUUCAUCAAUUGACGUUACUCGCAGAAGAAGCACCGGCUAACUCCGUGCCAGCAGCCGCGGUGAUACGGAGGGUGCAAGCGUUAAUCGGAAUUACUGGGCGUAAAGCGCACGCAGGCGGUUUGUUAAGUCAGAUGUGAAAUCCCCGGGCUCAACCUGGGAACUGCAUUUGAAACUGGCAAGCUAGAGUCUCGUAGAGGGGGGUAGAAUUCCAGGUGUAGCGGUGAAAUGCGUAGAGAUCUGGAGGAAUACCGGUGGCGAAGGCGGCCCCCUGGACGAAGACUGACGCUCAGGUGCGAAAGCGUGGGGAGCAAACAGGAUUAGAUACCCUGGUAGUCCACGCUGUAAACGAUGUCGAUUUU